AUACGUAGGGGGCGAGCGUUGUCCUGAAUGACUGGGCGUAAAGGGCGCGUAGGCGGCCCGGUAAGUCUGGAGUGAAAGUCCUGUUUUUAAGAUGGGAAUUGCUUUGGAUACUGUCGGGCUUGAGUGCAGGAGAGGGAAGUGGAAUUCCCAGUGUAGCGGUGAAAUGCGUAGAGAUUGGGAGGAACACCAGUGGCAAAGGCGACUUACUGGAGUGUAACUGACGCUGAGGCGCGAAAGUGUGGGGAGCAAACAGGAUUAGAUACCCUGGUAGUCCCCACUGUAAACGAUGAAUGCUAGGUGUAGGGGGUAUCGACCCCUUCUGUGCCGCAGUCAACACAAUAAGCAUUCCGCCUGGGGAGUACGGCCGCAAGGUUGAAACUCAAAGGAAUUGACGGGG
rnacentral:rRNA from 1 species